CCAGACCCUAGCCUGGCUACCAAAAACUCACAGACCCAAAGCUUCAGAAUUGCUCCCUACCACAGCACUAACCCUGUCCAUAUGGGACAGUUACCGGAAAAAAAGGGGUGCGACAAACCUACUCUCCCCGGCGAUGCCAUUGGAGACACUCCAACAGCUUAUCCCAGACUUCAAUUAUAAACUCUGGCAAAGGCACGACAUAACCACAAUAUCGCAUGUAAUGCAAGGAAAUAACCCCAAAUCAUUCUCAGAACUUUGCACAGAAUUCAAGCUACCUAACACGGCGGCCUUUUCCUACCUCCAACUACAAUCAUGGAUACGUCUCCACACUCCGACACAACCUGCUGAUCCUCCAG
rnacentral:lncRNA from 1 species